GCUGCAAUCCGUGAGGAAUCCACCACAACCGAUACGAACGUCGUUCGCACGUAGCGUUGAACGCUUUGUUCCGAGGGGCAGAUAGAGGACGAGGCCUCGUGCCCACAACAUGUUCCGCAUCCGAGAUUUCGAGCAUCACGCCUUGGGUGGGCUACACGAGCGCAYGCACACACACACACGAGUGCCAACCACGACACAUGCUAUGAGUUCCAAUCCGAACCACGACACCGAUAGGSGACGCGGAGCAAAAUGAAAAAAGGGACAGUUCAUCCAUCGUAAUGCCUCAAAGAUAGGUAUCGAGCACAGGAGGCCGCAAUCGGACGGGCUUGGGAGCC
rnacentral:misc_RNA from 1 species